rnacentral:ncRNA from 2 species
AAAUGAUGACAUAAACCAUUUCGUAUAACUCCAAUAAUAUGGUUUGGAGGUCUCUACCAGGAACCAAUAAUUCCUGAUUACGAAGAAGAUGCAAAGAUUU